UCCCCCUUAGCUCAGCGGUAGAGCGCUUCACUAGUAUCUCGGUUCCAAUAAUUCUAUGAAGAGGUCAGUCGUUCAAGUCGGCUAGGGGGAA